UCUUCAAAACAAGCUUUCAAUCGACAGUGAUCACCCAUCACAGACGCAUGCUUCAAGGACUAACGUUAUAUAUAUACCAACAUGUUUCAGGCAAUUGAAAAACGUGAUCCCGAAGAAGAAGCAAUGAAAGCCAGACAAGCAAACAUUGGGAAUGUAGCAACAUUUGUAAUCGCGUGCAGCGUCAUUCGUGCACUGCCCUGGAUACUUAAACAAAUAGAUCUCGUCCGUGAAUUUUAAGGACUGACAAAUAUUGUAACUUCAGUGUCAGAUAUCGGAUUGGCGGAGGUACAGCAAGCCACUUCGGCGCUUGUGGACUCGGAUGCCAAGGAAAUGGCCAAACUGACCAGCAAAUCAAGGGAUGACCAUGGCAAGGACAGAAUCUGUGUUGUGUAGAACUUAAAGUCCACUUUAAUAUUCUAUGAAGAUUUUACAGACACCACAAAAUAAAUAACACAGCGUUGUUUUUCAAAAUAAAACAUGCUCAUGAAUUAAGUAUGUAAAUGUU